rnacentral:rRNA from 1 species
GAUGAACGCUGGCGGCGUGCCUAAUACAUGCAAGUCGAGCGAACAGACGAGGAGCUUACUCCUCUGGCGUUAGCGGCGGACGGGUGAGUAACACGUGGAUAACCUACCUAUAAGACUGGGAUAACUUCGGGAAACCGGAGCUAAUACCGGAUAACAUGUUGAACCGCAUGGUUCAACAGUGAAAGACGGUCUUGCUGUCACUUAUAGAUGGAUCCGCGUCGCAUUAGCUAGUUGGUAAGGUAACGGCUUACCAAGGCAACGAUGCGUAGCCGACCUGAGAGGGUGAUCGGCCACACUGGAACUGAGACACGGUCCAGACUCCUACGGGAGGCAGCAGUAGGGAAUCUUCCGCAAUGGGCGAAAGCCUGACGGAGCAACGCCGCGUGAGUGAAGAAGGUCUUCGGAUCGUAAAACUCUGUUAUUAGGGAAGAACAAAUGUGUAAGUAACUAUGCACGUCUUGACGGUACCUAAUCAGAAAGCCACGGCUAACUACGUG